rnacentral:rRNA from 1 species
UACUAGAGUAGCACUCGCAUAUCAAUAAGCGGAGGAAAAGAAACUAACAAGGAUUCCCCUAGUAACGGCGAGUGAAGCGGGAAGAGCUCAAAUUUGAAAUCUUAAAGGGUUUCCCUUUACGAAUUGUAGUUUAAAGAAGUGUUUUCUGUUGAGGUUUUGGUAAAAGUUCUUUGGAAUAGGACAUCAUAGAGGGUGAGAAUCCCGUAUUUGACCUUUACUUUCAACUUUGUGAUACACUUUCAAAGAGUCGGAUUGUUUGGGAAUGCAGUCCAAAAUGGGUGGUAAAUUUCAUCUAAAGCUAAAUAUUGGCGAGAGACCGAUAGCGAACAAGUACCGUGAGGGAAAGAUGAAAAGAACUUUGAAAAGAGAGUUAAACAGUACGUGAAAUUGUCAAAAGGGAGGCGUUUGACACCAGUGUUGUUUUUCUGAAAAUCAAUUAAAGAACUGUUUAUGCUAAGCUGUUUAGACUUUAUCAGCUAUCUGUUUAGUUUUGAGCUUUUCUUUAAUGCACUUUUCAGUUAACAAGUCAACAUCAAUUUCUUUUGCUGUAAAAAAGCUUGAGGAAGGUGGCUUGAGAUUCGUCUUAAGUGUUUAUAGCCUCUUGCCUAUGCAGUCGGAGAGAUUGAGGUCUGCAGCGUAGAUCCUUCGGGGCUAAAUGCAUUUGUGCUAAGUUAUAGCAUUUUAUAGACAACUUGUUGACUAUGAUUUGUCUUGUAGCUUACUCGCUUAUGUUAUUUUACCUACGCUUAGGAUUUGAACUCUAUCACACACAG